rnacentral:lncRNA from 1 species
UUGAGUCAGACCCGUUUAUUUGCAUAUUUAUUUUAUUUUUAUUUCUGGGCUUGUUUGCAUUUUAGGGCUUAUUUGUGUUAUUUGUGGGCUUAUUAGGAGUUAUUUUUGUGUAAGGGGGUUUUAUGUUAAUUGUGUUUAUUUGGCCCUAUAUAUAGGGGACUAUUUUCAUGAUUAGGGUUUUAAUGAAUGAUUAAGAACUUUCUUUUCCCCCACAUCUUAUUCUUCUUCUUCCUCCUCC